AGAGAGUGUUUUUGCGCCUCUUUCUGUCAAAAGAUACCCUCUGUGGGUCAUGCAAAUCAAUAUAUAGUUCGUAAAAAAUAGCAGAAACUGGCCCAGGUCCACGAGACUGGUGCGCAGUGCUGGUUUUGUUGCUUAGCAGUAGGCGCGACACUCAGAAAUAUCACUCAACGUUGAUGCCCAGGCCCCUGGCAGUGAACUCACUGAAGAGGCU
rnacentral:lncRNA from 1 species